CCUACGGGAGGCAGCAGUGAGGAAUAUUGGUCAAUGGGCGCGAGCCUGAUCCAGCCACGUAGCGUGAAGGAUGAAUGCCCUAGGUGUUGUAAACUUCUUUUAUAAAGGAAUAAAGUGAGGCAAGUGUGCCUUUUUAUAUGUACUUUAUGAAUAAGGAUCGGCAAACUCCGUGCCAGCAGCCGCGGUAAUACGGGGGAUCCGUGCGUUAUCCGGAUUUGUUGGGUUUAACGGGUGUGUAGGCGGAAUGUCAAGUUAGCGGUAAAAAUUCGGGGCACAACCCCGUCGUGCCGUUGAAACUGGUGUACUUGAGUGGGCGAGAGGUAUGCGGAAUUCGUGGUGUAGCGGUGAAAUGCGUAGAUAUCACGCAGAACUCCGAUUGCGAAGGCAGCAUACCGGCGCCCAACUGACGCUGAGGCACGAAAGCGUGGGUAGCAAACAGGAUUAGAUACCCCUGUAGUC
rnacentral:rRNA from 1 species